UUUUUCUUAAGUUUAUGCGAUUUCUCCUUUCAGUUUUCUUUUAGUUUGUUUUCAUUUUUGCUUUCAAUAACACACACAACCACAAUCUUCUUCUUUUUGAUUUGCUCUGCUCAAACUGAUAGACUAUGUUAGAUGAGCUUUUCUUUCUAUGACCCCAUUGAUGUGAUGACUCUUUAAACUUAUGUUGAAUCAAUUGCAGUGAGUUGUAUUCAUGUUUGAGAAUUACCUUUUGAAUUGAAUCUUUGAGCUUGCCAUGGUGAAAAAUGUAUUGAUGACACUCAUUAGAGAGAAUGAAUUGAAAUUGUGUGAAUGAACUUAACAUGACUUGUUUUAGCAAUUGGUGUUGAUUUGCCCAAUGCAUUGAUUAAAGGAAUUCAGCAAAGGCUUAGACUUCAUGAGCACAAAUUGAGAACUGUUCCAAUGGUUGAAAGACUA
rnacentral:lncRNA from 1 species